rnacentral:rRNA from 1 species
AGAGCGGCGGACGGGUGAGUAAUGCCUAGGAAUCUGCCUGGUAGUGGGGGAUAACGUUCGGAAACGGACGCUAAUACCGCAUACGUCCUACGGGAGAAAGCAGGGGACCUUCGGGCCUUGCGCUAUCAGAUGAGCCUAGGUCGGAUUAGCUAGUUGGUGGGGUAAUGGCUCACCAAGGCGACGAUCCGUAACUGGUCUGAGAGGAUGAUCAGUCACACUGGAACUGAGACACGGUCCAGACUCCUACGGGAGGCAGCAGUGGGGAAUAUUGGACAAUGGGCGAAAGCCUGAUCCAGCCAUGCCGCGUGUGUGAAGAAGGUCUUCGGAUUGUAAAGCACUUUAAGUUGGGAGGAAGGGCCAUUACCUAAUACGUGAUGGUUUUGACGUUACCGACAGAAUAAGCACCGGCUAACUCUGUGCCAGCAGCCGCGGUAAUACAGAGG